GAUGAACGCUGGCGGCGUGCCUAAUACAUGCGAGUCGAGCGAACAGAUGAGGAGCUUGCUCCUUUGACGUUAGCGGCGGACGGGUGAGUAACACGUGGGUAACCUACCUAUAAGACUGGGAUAACUUCGGGAAACCGGAGCUAAUACAGGAUAACAUUUGGAACCGCAUGGUUCUACAGUGAAAGAUGGUUUUGCUAUCCCUUAUAGAUGGACCCGCGCCGUAUUAGCUAGUUGGUAAGGUAACGGCUUACCAAGGCAACGAUACGUAGCCGACCUGAGAGGGUGAUCGGCCACACUGGAACUGAGACACGGUCCAGACUCCUACGGGAGGCAGCAGUAGGGAAUCUUCCGCAAUGGGCGAAAGCCUGACGGAGCAACGCCGCGUGAGUGAUGAAGGGUUUCGGAUCGUAAAACUCUGUUAUUAGGGAAGAACGAACGUGUAAGUAACUGUGCACGUCUUGACGUUACCUAAUCAGAAAGCCACGGCUAACUACGUG
rnacentral:rRNA from 1 species